CGGAAGGAUCAUUACAGAGUCAUUAUGGGUUAAUACCCUAAUACUCCACCCUUUGUUUACAUUACCUUUGUUGCUUUGACAGGCCCGUCUUGAACGCCGGCUUCUAGCUGGUCAGUGCCUGCCAGAGGACCUAAAACUCUUGUUUAAUCAUAUUGUCUGAGUACUAUAUAAUAGUUAAAACUUUCAACAACGGAUCUCUUGGUUCUGGCAUCGAUGAAGAACGCAGCGAAAUGCGAUAAGUAAUGUGAAUUGCAGAAUUCAGUGAAUCAUCGAAUCUUUGAACGCACAUUGCGCCCUCUGGUAUUCCGGGGGGCAUGCCUGUUCGAGCGUCAUUACAACCCUCAAGCUCUGCUUGGUAUUAAGCUUCGCCUGCAAUGGUGGGCUAUAAAAUCAAUGGCGGUGCCAUCUGGCUUCAAGCGUAGUAAAUUUUCUCGCUUUGGGGACCUGCUGAGUGCCUGCUAAACACUAAUUUUUUUUUGAAAAGGUUGACCCCCGGAUCCGGCAGGGAUACCCGCUGAACUUAAGCCAUAUCAAUAAGCGGAGGAAAAAGAAACUAACAGGGAUUGCCUNAGUAACGGCGAGUGAAGCGGCAACAGCCUCAAAUUGAAAUCUGGCCUUUUGGUUCGAGUUGUAAUUUGUAGAGGAUGCUUCGAACGUGGUCCCGUCUAAGUUUUCUUGGAACAGAAUGUCAUAGAAGGUGAGAAUCCGUAUGCGACUGGGUGCCUAAGUUCAUGUGAAGCUCCCUUCGAAGAGUCGAGUGUUUGGGAAUGCAGCUCAAAAUGGGUGGUAAAUU
rnacentral:rRNA from 1 species